rnacentral:rRNA from 1 species
AACGCUAGCUACAGGCUUUAACACAUGCAAGUCGAGGGGCAGCAUUAUCGAAGCUUGCUUUGAUAGAUGGCGACCGGCGCACGGGUGAGUAACGCGUAUCCAACCUUCCCCAUAGUCAGGAAUAGCCCGGCGAAAGUCGAAUUAAUGCCUGAUGUUUUCCACGGACGGCAUCUGAUGUGGAACAAAGAUUGAUCGCUAUGGGAUGGGGAUGCGUCUGAUUAGCUUGUUGGCGGGGUAACGGCCCACCAAGGCAACGAUCAGUAGGGGUUCUGAGAGGAAGGUCCCCCACAUUGGAACUGAGACACGGUCCAAACUCCUACGGGAGGCAGCAGUGAGGAAUAUUGGUCAAUGGGCGGAAGCCUGAACCAGCCAAGUAGCGUGAGGGAUGACUGCCCUAUGGGUUGUAAACCUCUUUUAUAAGGGAAUAAAAUACGGGACGUGUCCUGUUUUGCAUGUACCUUAUGAAUAAGGACCGGCUAAUUCCGUGCCAGCAGCCGCGGUAAUACGGAAGGUCCGGGCGUUAUCCGGAUUUAUUGGGUUUAAAGGGAGCGCAGGCGGUCUUAUAAGCGUGACGUGAAAUGCAGCGGCUCAACCGUAUGAUGUGCGUCGCGAACUGUGAGACUUGAGUGUAUUCGAUGUCAGCGGAAUUUGUGGUGUAGCGGUGAAAUGCUUAGAUAUCACGAAGAACUCCGAUUG